rnacentral:rRNA from 1 species
CCUACGGGAGGCAGCAGUAGGGAAUCUUCCACAAUGGGCGAAAGCCUGAUGGAGCAACGCCGCGUGGGUGAAGAAGGUCUUCGGAUCGUAAAACCCUGUUGUUAGAGAAGAAAGUGCGUGAGAGUAACUGUUCACGUUUCGACGGUAUCUAACCAGACAGCCACGGCUAACUACGUGCCAGCAGCCGCGGUAAUACGUAGGUGGCAAGCGUUAUCCGGAUUUAUUGGGCGUAAAGGGAACGCAGGCGGUCUUUUAAGUCUGAUGUGAAAGCCUUCGGCUUAACCGGGGUAGUGCAGUGGAAACUGGGAGACUUGAGUGCAGAAGAGGAGGGUGGAACUCCAUGUGUAGCGGUGAAAUGCGUAGAUAUAUGGAAGAACACCAGUGGCGAAGGCGGCUCUCUGGACUGUAACUGACGCUGAGGUUCGAAAGCGUGGGUAGCAAACAGGAUUAGAUACCCUUGUAGUC